rnacentral:rRNA from 1 species
UACGUAGGUGGCAAGCGUUGUCCGGAUUUAUUGGGCGUAAAGAGCGUGUAGGCGGCUUUACAGGUCCGUUGUGAAAACUCGAGGCUCAACCUCGAGACGCCGGUGGAAACCGUAAAGCUAGAGUCCGGAAGAGGAGAGUGGAAUUCCUGGUGUAGCGGUGAAAUGCGCAGAUAUCAGGAAGAACACCCGUGGCGAAGGCGGCUCUCUGGGACGGUACUGACGCUGAGACGCGAAAGCGUGGGGAGCAAACAGG